GCCUGGGUGGCUCAGUGGUUGAGCAUCUGCCUUCGGCUCAGGUGGUGUUCCUGGGGCCCUGGGAUCAAGUCCCACAUCAGGCU
rnacentral:tRNA from 1 species